UACGUAGGGUGCAAGCGUUGUCCGGAAUUAUUGGGCGUAAAGAGCUCGUAGGCGGUUUGUCGCGUCUGCUGUGAAAACCCGAGGCUCAACCUCGGGCCUGCAGUGGGUACGGGCAGACUAGAGUGAUGUAGGGGAGACUGGAAUUCCUGGUGUAGCGGUGAAAUGCGCAGAUAUCAGGAGGAACACCGGUGGCGAAGGCGGAUCUCUGGGCCGUAACUGACGCUGAGGAGCGAAAGCAUGGGGAGCGAACAGG
rnacentral:rRNA from 1 species